rnacentral:rRNA from 1 species
GAUGAACGCUGGCGGCGUGCCUAAUACAUGCAAGUCGAGCGAACGGACGAGAAGCUUGCUUCCUUGCUGUUAGCGGCGGACGGGUGAGUAACACGUGGAUAACCUACCUAUAAGACUGGGAUAACUUCGGAAAACCGGAGCUAAUACCGGAUAAUAUUUUGAACCGCAUGGUUCAAAAGUGAAAGACGGUCUUGCUGUCACUUAUAGAUGGAUCCGCGCUGCAUUAGCUAGUUGGUAAGGUAACGGCUUACCAAGGCAACGAUGCAUAGCCGACCUGAGAGGGUGAUCGGCCACACUGGAACUGAGACACGGUCCAGACUCCUACGGGAGGCAGCAGUAGGGAAUCUUCCGCAAUGGGCGAAAGCCUGACGGAGCAACGCCGCGUGAGUGAUGAAGGUCUUCGGAUCGUAAAACUCUGUUAUUAGGGAAGAACAUAUGUGUAAGUAACUGUGCACAUCUUGACGGUACCUAAUCAGAAAGCCACGGCUAACUACGUG